GACGAACGCUGGCGGCGUGCCUAACACAUGCAAGUCGAACGAGUGGCGAACGGGUGAGUAAUGCGUAGGAAACUGCCUCAUAGCGGGGGAUAAAUCUUGGAAACGAUAGCCAAUACCCCAAACUUUUGGAUGGACCUGCGUUGGAGUAGUGAGUUGGUGAGGUAAAGGCUCACCAAGGCGACGAUCCCGAGCUGGUCUGAGAGGAUGACCAGCCACACUGGAACUGAGACACGGGCCAGACUCCUACGGGAGGCAGCAGUGGGGAAUAUUGCACAAUGGGGGCAAGCCGGAUGCAGCCAUGCCGCGUGUAUGAAGAAGGCCUUCGGGUUGUAAAGUACUUUCAGCGGGGAGGCGUUACCCGCAGAAGAAGCACCGGCUAACUCCGUGCCAGCCGCCGCGGUAAUAC
rnacentral:rRNA from 1 species